rnacentral:lncRNA from 1 species
UAAAUUCCCAAUCCCACACGCCAAAACCUAGAUGAGGAAUCAUCAAAAUUAUGUGGGAGUGAUUGACAUCAAAAUCUCAAGAAACAAGCGAUCAUCAACAAUAGAAGAAUACACAGCAACAACAGUAUUGAUCUGAGGAGCAAUGCAACCACAAAACUUGUAUUCGACAUGAAAAUUUAUAUUCGAAGUUCGUCUUCUACGAAACUUGAGGCAGGAGCUCGGAGUUUGUUAACUACACAAACCCAUCUCCAUUUCAUCAAAGCUCCAACCAUUUCUUUCUCUUACCGGAUUGCCUGCUGAUUUUAAUGGUUCUUCUUCUUCUUUUUGGCGGCCGCCACUUCUGCGCUCCUUGCUGCAGCCGCGUUCGAUUUCUUCUUCUUAGCAGAAGCCACCUGCUUGAGCUAAUGAGUUUAAGAAUAUAUUGAGGUAAUGAGUCUUGAACUUCGUAGCCCUUUCAUUGGGGUUUCACUUAAUUGCACUACGUUUGAAGCGAGAAACAAUCGAGAUUAUGCUUACCGGAGGGGAGCUGCAC